AGUAGCAGUAGGCAGAGCAAUCGCUUCGUAAGCGAUGGGUCAAGGGUUCGAUUCCCUCCGCUG
rnacentral:tRNA from 1 species